UGCUCCUCAGCUUUAGUAUCACGGUCCAGGCAAACUAAUCUGCAGAACUGACCUGUUCAUCACAAUGAAGCUGCUGUUUUCUCUGUUUCUCCUCUGGGCACUCUCCACCACGGCUGGAGCCCUUCAGUGUCAAACCUGCACAGAUUCGACGUGUUCAAGCACAGUACCAGUUACAUGCUCCUCAUCGGAAACAAUGUGUGUUACAGCUACCAUUCUAGCUACUUCAUCUGGAACUCCGGUCACACAAAUCUACAAGGCAUGUGUAUCUUCCUCCCUGUGUCCAGCCGUAACCUCUCAGACACUUUCAGUCAACCUGGGUUUUCAAAGUGCUCUGGCUUCUGCUCAAUGCUGCAGCACAGAUAACUGCAACUCAGCAACUCUACCAAAUCCUGCUUCUCAGUCAAAUAAUGGUGGAGUAUGCAACUUCUGUGACCCUUCCACUGGUCAGUGCUCCUCCACAUUACAGUGUCAGGGAGUGGAGAACCAAUGCUUCCAAUCAAUCAUCAAAAGCAGCACCAGCACGUAUCCAGCUCAGGGCUGCGCAUCUGCAAACCUGUGUGCAGUUGCUUCAAGCCUGGGAUCUCUACCUUUCAUGCCGAGCGUUGGUACCGUAUCAGGUGUUACCUGUUUGACAGCACCAACUACAACUGCUGCCCCAACUACAACCAUCCCCCCAACUACAACUACAACCACUGCCACAACUACAACUACAACCACUGCCACAACUACAACCACCACCCCAACUACAACUACAACCACUGCCACAACUACAACCACCACCCCAACUACAACUACAACCACUGCCACAACUAAAACCACUACCCCAACUACAACUGCAACAACUGCCUCUACAACCAAAAGUGACGCUUGUUCUAUCAGACUGGGAAUGAUCCAUCUGCUGCUUGGACUCCUUCUCUUUACCUUUCAUUAAAGUCCCGAAUAACACAAAAACAAACAAAAGAACAUAUGAUGCUUUAACAAGACUCAAAAACCUUUUGGAUAUUAACCUUGUGUUUACAAACCACUGUUAAAGUGAAGUCCAUGAAAAAAGGCGAUAGAGUCUUGUUGAAGCUGACUUGGAAUAAGUAUGUAAGACUUCUUUGUUUGUUGUCAUGAUGGACAAUUAUGUCCAUUAUGCCCAAAAUAAAUGACAUUAUUCAUUACAUUUAUUUGACAUAUAUACAUGUAUAUUCCUCCAUGUAUGCAAAUGUAUGCAAUUUAUUUAAUACUAAAUGGGUGACACAACUGAAUCCUUAUAGCAAUAACAAAGCAUGCUUUGGAAAUAGAAGAAAGAAGGAGAAUUUCCAUUUCUUAUUUAUUCAUUUAUUUUGCUUUGUGCUUUUUAUUUUCUGCAUGUCUCUCUUUCUAAUCUGAUCUAUAUUACUAGUGAUCAAUGGUGGAUCUGCAAGGGUGGAUCUACAAGGGUGGCAUGUGCCCACCUAAAAAUAGUCUCUUGCCAUCCCUAGUGGCACCCAAGUUUUGCAGUGUUGUUUAUUAAAAUAAGCUAACAUUAACCCUUUGAGCUUAGCUACAGUUACAGUUAACAAUGACAGAGUGGGCAAUACAGUAAGUUUGCACCUCCUUUUGUCAGACCUGCAGGGUUUAAGCUUGUGGUGUUCUCCUCUGUCUUAUGGCAGACAAACUAUUUUUUUGCACUGGCACAAAUAAUUUGUGUGGCAUCUUACUAUGACACCUGAUUGUUGUCUAAUUUUUGUUUUAGUAGUUUUAAAUGGCAAAAAACUCCAGUUACAUUGGCUGCAUUUUUAGGUAAAGAGUUGUAUAGAACUUUAUUGUUUACAAAAUUUGGGUGUAGGUCUUUAGAAUUUAGGAAAUUUCUGUAGUUCUGCCCCUGCUGAUGAUAAAGAUACAAUAAAGCCCUUGUCCUAUA
ensembl:lncRNA